GUUGUCGGUAGCCGAGCGCCAGUGGGGCUCCUCCAGCACCUCGAAGAUCGCCGCCCCAAUGGACAGGUAGAAGAUGAUGGCCGAGGUUCACCGGAAUUCCUCGUUUUCGACGCCGGGAGGCUGUGAAACGAGGUCUGUGGCUUUCCUGGAUGCAUGGAAGCGUGGGGGGAAGCUGAGCGGGAGCUUUGAGGAGAAAAUAUGUCCGUCUGUAGAUUUCACCCCUUCCCUGAGAUAUCUGUAAUGCUUCACACGUGGGCAUUACAGAUGUCCAUUUCUUUCCUGCCUUUGGUACCCUCAAUAAAUAUCGCUAUGUCCCUGUCUGUGUAUUUAGGAGGGAGGGGGAAACACUGGAUAGUGAUUUUCCAUAAGAUGCUCAAAACAUCUUCCAGGUUGAAGCUCCCUUGAAGCUUACCCUGUUUGUGAAGCCUUCCCCAGGAGCCGCUUGCAGCCACGCACAAGCCCUUGCCCCUCCGUGUUCGAAUGGGGCUGGAAAUGGGGUUAAAUGGGUCAGGGAGACAUACAGUGAUGACGUGUUAUGCACACUGGCAAAGUGCUUCUGGUGUGGACAGGGUUCAUCUUACAAACAUUAUUUUUGUAAGGGUAACUUGUUUUCUUUCUCCUUCAGCCCCCACAACAGGAAGUAAACACUCAAAAAGUGGAGUAGUUCAUAUCAAUUGCAUCAACACUAAGAGAUUUGGGGUGUAUGUUACUCAGUUGGAGUACACAGACUAAAAGCCUGAGAUACGCCCGUGCAGACGUAGUUGAAAUGGGAAGAGGGGGAAUGGAGGAGAAUAGGAAAGACAAAGGAGAGAGCUAGAAAAUAUGCAAGAGAGUAUGAGAAAACAAAAAGGAGAGCACAUAUACGGCAGAGGAACAUGCAUUGGUUAGAAGAUAUACGGAGAUACGUAUAUAAAACUGAAUCAGGCCCAAUGGAUGCUCCUGUGAUAUUGCCCCCAGGAAAUCACAUGGUCCUUACGUAGUCCUUCCUACUAGUGUAUAUGGUACUCAAUAAAAAUACAUCUGCAAGAGGUUCCUAGCACCCUAAAAGCAGGAUGGGGAAACCACAAAAUCCACAAGUACAUUAAGUGAUCAAUCUUUGCAUGGGAUUUUCCAGUUAUUUGAAGGAAGCAUUAAAAAGAAAAAAGGAUUUUCAAACUGCAGUAGUUUAAAAAGAUAAUUUAUAUAUACUGGAGGAAAUAGCAAGAAAAAAGCAUCAUAAUAAACAUUUUUUAAAGUGUAACAAACUAUGCUAAUUUUUUUAUUAAGGGAAAAAUGGGGGAUGCUGCAUGAAGUUGAAAGGCUGUAAUUUCUUUUUAAUUAAAAGGAAAAUAAGAAUUUAAUGAUGCACAAUUACCUCAUGAAAAUUAUUCCCAGAUGUUAUCACUUGGCCCAAGACCUUUGUGAAACUUGAAAAGCCAUUGGCACAAAUUAAUAAUGUGAGUAUCUGUCAUUGUCUCACUUGCUGAUUUAAAUGUAAAGUUUAAAAUAGUAUGUAAGUACUUCUGGCAAGUGACUGAAAGAAUUGAAGAACUUUCAGUAGGCAAAUUAUGAUACAAUUUUCCUUUUGGUGCUCUUGCACCUUCUUCUGAGUCACCUGCAAGUGGUUAGGUUAUUCUGACAGCAACAGCAGUAGCCUGACACAUUACAGCAAUGCUGCACUUAUGUGUUCCUGACCCUGAACAUCUGUGCUUCAUAACUGGAAGGUAUUUGAUUAAAUUUUGAAACUGUACUCUUCCCCAUAUGUCUAAGUCUCUAAAUGCCCAUUUAUUCAUUGAAACAGUAUCUUAAAGGCACAAGGAAUGACACAAAUGACCCUGAACCCACUGCAGUUACAGAGCACAGAUAAGAGCAAAACCACGUUUAGGCAUUUUGCAGAAAAUUUGUGAUUUUGAUUCAACAAUUCUACUUUCCAGUCUAAACUGCCAAUCACUGAUUGCAUAAUUAGUACUCUCAGUAACUGAGUCAGUCCGUAUUUAAAAACAAACAAGCCUGUAAGUCACAUACCAUUUUUCCCUGUGUUGAAAUGCUAUUGCACUUGUUAGACUGUCUCCUUGUGUUUCUCUGGGUUUAAAAGAGGUGAGCCUGGUAAGGAGCAACAUCCAGAAGAAUAGUUUAUUCCCCAAGGAACCAUAACCAGCUACUCCUGCAAGUAGAGGUGAUUCGCUGAGUAUCAACAAACUUCAUGCACUUAGAUAUUUCACUUUGAUUCCAUUGUCUUUUGCAGAACAAAUUACAAGGUAUACUUUCACAUUGCUGGCCAAGUAGUGUGGCAAGAAGGAAUGUUUUGUGUAGCUGGCCUCUCUUUGCACCUCCUGAUCUAAAAUGCUUCUCCUGACCUCAGAAAAUAUAUUAUAUCCUUUUAUUCAUGGCCCUUUUCUCUUCUUUGUUUCCCUUGGAUUAAACAGUACCCCUAUUGUCAACCCACAGCACCUGCCACAUAGGCCCCACAGCUUUUCAUGCUAGCUAAGUUAAUAAAAAGGCUGAGGUUAUUCACUCACAGGCUUUUAAACCUCAUUUAAAAAUCAAGGGAGAAACAGCAGAAAGCACUUUGGUGAGUAAUACCACAAGUAUCAAUCAUUUGUAUUAUUUGCAUAGGACAUUAUGUCAGGCUGUCCAGUCCAAAAGAAAAUCUCUUUCAUCCAAGCUGCAUGUCUAAGACACAUUUGCUGUACAGAUGUUUCCUAAGAAAGCCUGGAAUUAAUGGAUAAAUGUCAGAAAAUGUUUGAGAUAGAGCAAGUAAGAGACAUUAUUUGGGCAAAUGAAACCUGUCAUGUAGUGGCAAAGACUGCAUGUUAUACUGGGUAUGAACUAUGGGUCUCUCUUCAAGCCUCUGCCAUUUUUCACUUAGAAGCCUAUUUUUGGCUUGUUGAUGACUGCUCUCAAUGCCUGUCAACUCUGCAUCUUUCAUUUAUUCUUUAACUGUUGAAAUUUACACACCUCCAGCGCUGCCUUGAAGUGUUAUGCAUCCAGCCACAGAUGGUUUAACUACGUUGAGGGUGCCCUGUCGUGACUAUCAUGAGCAGUUUUGCCUCUUUGAUGCAGUCCAAUGCACACAGAAAGGGUAAGGGUGGUCUGCAGAUGAUGCAGAAUUUUAUAUGAGGCAUUUGUGGAAAGUUCAAAAAUUCUCCACAGGAUUGUUCAUACCUUUUGGCUUAAGUAUUUACAAAAGCACAUUUUAUGCUCAGAAUGUAUAGUAACACAUAGUAAAUCAUAAUAAAAAUAAUAAAAACCUUUACCAAAACAACCUGCAUGCCACUGCAACAGACUUCUUUACCCCUGGACAGAUAAUGAGUGAAGAAACACCACAUGACAGAUGUUAGUCAUGCUGCUUAAUGAAUAACUGGUGAUGAGUACAAUACCUGUGUGGAAUGGCUGUAAUAUGUUCAAGGAAAAAUAUGCAUUUGGAUCACCUGUUUUUCACUGAGGUACCUGCAGUGCUCUAGAGAAAUGUCUUCAUCAGGAAGAAGCCUAAGUAUUUCAACAGUUUUUCUGCAUCUGUUUCCUUGACUGCCUUGUUCCUCAGCCAUCCAUAGCAGUCACUGGAUGAUUAAACAUUUUUCCUUCAAAAUAUUUUUUAAAUAAAUACCCUGGCCUUCUCUUUCUGUUCCACCAUUACCUAACUGGUAGUACCAGAAGCUUUAUAGCAGUCCUUCAUGCUGACAUUCAUGUCAGUGAUCUAAGAACUUCAGAAUACAGCUCUGCAAAAGAAGACUGACUUGUACAAUGUCAGUCCUGGAGUGGCUUUUACCACCAUGAUACCCAGAGGACAUUACUCUUCUAGAUAAUAUGCUCAAGGAUAGCUGAGCACCAUGGUAACAGAGUCAGUGAAUAUGCAACAAUCUGUUAUUUUGUUAGAUAAAACAUCACUGUCAAGUCUUAUUUUUGGGUCAUUAAGAAGGAAUUAAAUUUUAUUUGUGUAUAGUAAUAUGGAUGAAUGUUUGUCUGUUGUCCUGAGACUUGUUUCCCAAACCAGCUUAAUUUAACUUUUAUCAAUCUGCUGUCAUGCAGUGCAUGCCUUCCCUAGUGUUACUGCCUGAAUGUGGCAGUGCUGGAUUACAGGGGGGGAUUCAAGGAGCAGUUAGCCUUCCCCAUCUCUCACUUGGGCUGCACAGCUGUGUGUCUUGUGUGCCAGGUUGUGCAAUGAAGGGCCUUGUAUGUGACUGAGCAGCUCCCAAAUUCAAACUGGGCUCCCUUCCAUGCAUGGUGUGUAGCACUCACGUUUUGUUAGUCAACAUGCCAGAAGAGCUGUUCCUAUCUAACUCUUCCCUUUAUUGAAAAAAAGUCUUCACAUUAAUUUUGGCAGCAGGAAAGCAGAGAGAAGGUUGAUGGCUUUUUUUUCCCUCUUGGGUGAAUAAAAAGCCUCAUGGAUAACAAAUGAAGACAGCUAUACACCAAAAAAAACAUUGAAAAGAAUCAUAUUUUUAUCAUCUGUUCUCCAGUUCCAAACCCUGUAGCAACGGCUUGUGAGGUUAGAUUGGGUCUUGUCUAGUGAAAGAAAAGAUUGAGUAAGUAAGUGAAAAAGUUGGCUACAUGCAGUUAAAGGAGUAUGGAUUUUUAAGAUUUUUGUUUUCUAUGGACACGAGUCACUUUUGUGCUUGGUGUCCUGGAAUGAAAGAAGGAUCAUCGACCAUACAGUCUCUACACAUGUGCCUCUGCCUUAUGUUUAAAGGGGCUUUGGAAUAAGACAAAAGUUCCUGGCAUAGUCAAUCUCCACAGCCCCUUAGCCUGUCACGUGGUUCUUUGUGAUCCCUCCUCCAUUACAUGUGGUAUUGGGAAAGAAGGCAGCAAAGGCUGAGCACUAAGUCCCACAGCUGUCCUGUAAGUGAAGGGCUUGCAAAGCUGUUAGUGGCUUUUAAUUUAAGCUUUGUACCCUCCUAGACCAUCAUCAGGAGAGGUGUUAAGAGAGUUUGGAGGAACUUGGAUUUCAGUGUUAAUGCCUUCCAGUGGUGCCUCCCAUAUGCCAAAAAUUCAGUGUAAAAGUAGCAAGUAAAUCCAGGUGACUCACAGAUAUGUCUCUUGGGAGGUAGCUUGGCACAAAAGUGAUUGGGUUAGAGUAUCAGAAAAAGUCCACCUGGUCUGCUGCUUUUGUCGACAGCAGGACUGUUGUCAUUGCUCUAAGCAUAGAAGUUCCCUGCAAGUCCUAACUUCCAGGUUUCAAGGUGAACACCAUGCUCUUGGCUCUCAGUGACUUUGUAGGGAUGUGUGUAUGCAUGGUCACAGUCAAUUGCCAGAUAACCCAUGACUGAGGUGGAAAAACAAGUUGGAUGCUGGGUGUUUUCCUCCUGUUGUGUAGCACCUCAGCAGUGCUCUGUUCAUCAUUCUGUCUCACAACUGGAACACAGUCCAGGGAAACUGAAGAAGCAGUGAGUGAAUGGAAGCAGACUCAAAUUGCCCAUGUUGCUGCUCUCGUUUGGGAGCUCAUAGGGAAGUCCUGGUAACUCGGGUCAGACUCACAAUGGUUCCAACAAUGAGAUUUGAGAGAGGCCUGGAGAUAAGCAGAGGUGAGGGAAGGCACACAGUGUAAGGAUAGUCAACUCCUAACUAUACCUGUGCAUCUGCAAAAAUCCCUUAAGCAGUUGGGAGAGAGAGAGAGAAUAUGGGGAAGGGAACACUGACCCCAUCAAAACAAAGGGCUGUGGUGCUCUUUAAGGGCAUCCAAACAGAGGUGAACAUCCCAAACGUUUUUAUUCAUUUAAGAGGACCAUCUGAGGCUGAACAUCCCCAGGGAAUACUGCAUUGCCAACAUGGGUUAUAGAAACUAAUGGUGAGCAGCCUGUUAGAGGUUUCACAACUCAUUUCCUUUGAAUAUUAGUUAUUUCUUUUGCCAAAGAGAGGCAAAAAGGGGGAGGAGAAGGAGGAAAUAAAAACUAAAUGGGCUAGUUCAUUUAUUUUAUAAGAUCAAAUCAAUAAGCAGAUGGGUGAAUUCUGCAGAUGGCAUUGCUUCAGUCAAGACAGAAAAUUCAGUGCUUCCCUGCAUGUGUUUUUUUGCAAGAUUUCUUUGAACAAGGAAGUGUAUGCAAAUAAAGAGACCAAUUUGCACAUGCUCAUUCAGCUCAGCAGCCAUGAACUCUCCCUGACUCUGGGUACUUUUAACAAUAAAGACUCCAGGCUGGGGAGCCUGCUUCAUAUUCUACCCUUGCUUCAGUACUCCCUACUCUCACCCCCAAUCUUUUGCAAUUAAAUGGCAAUCGGAGUUAAUAAAGGUGAGUCUGUGAUCCUAUAAAGCACUUUGCAUCAUCAACUUUUGUGAUGAAAUUUUCACAGGGGAAGGAGGUGCAGCAGCAUUUUGUCCAAGUAAAGGUUGCCCCGGCAAUAUAUCAAGAAGCCUGAAGCCCUUAAUUUUCCUAAGAGAGAUUUGAUUACUGCACCCCAUAUCUGAGUGCAGAAAUUUGUCCUGCAGAAACUACGCUCCCCCACCCCUUCACUCCCCCUUUUCCAAGAUAAGUCUUAAAGUAUUCUGGAGCUUACGUUCUUGCAUUACUGCCCCUGUGUCACAUACACAUGGACAAGCUUGGGCUGGCUUGCUGAAAUUAUUAUACUAGGUCUACAACAGAUCACAGAUCUGCCUCUGCCCUACCAAAAACAUUAUUUUUCCAUAGCUGGGUUGAAGAAACUGCUGCUUUUACUAGAGAGAAGUGGCCAGUUGACAUUUACUGUGUUGGAUGUUAUUUCAAUGUGUUUAUUAUAAACAAAUGACAAUGCAACUUCCAUUCUGACUAAAGGAACUUAUAAUCAACACAGAGCUGUUAAAACUUGACAAAUAAGUAAUGUCUAAGCCAGAUAAAUAAAUGAGUUGUUGGAGAAGUCUUUCUUCUGCUGUACUGCCUAGUGCAAAUACAGCAGCCUUGCUUAAUAAAGGAGGCCUCGUUUAAUUCUGGGCUUGUCUCAACAUUAGUCUUUUACAAGCACUUUGGACAAGAUCAUUAAUCCUGCAUGUAUCAACUGAAGACAUGCCUCCCAAAUUUCCUUAGAAUGUUGAGAAAAGACCUAGUUACACAAUUAUACCUUAACUAACACAUAUCUAUUCUCAGCAGUGGGAAGUGAGGUUUUUUUGCAGCUAUCAGAGUGUACAAAUACCUUGUAUGACAUUUAGAGAGAUUAAAUUCCUUUGCCCCACUCUAUACCUGGACUGCUUAUAGGGCAUACUGCUUGGAAAACAUGGGAAGAUUACAAUUUGAAUAUCUAUUAUCAUGAUAAUGUUGUGGAAAUCUGACAGCUGUUAGCAGAGCAGUGUGGUAAGGACAUUGCUGGGGUUCAUAGGUGAAGAAGAGAGGGGAUUUUGAUAUCUGUGAUUAGUAACGAACAGUAGGAGAAGCUGCUGUGUUGCCUCACUGGCAAGACACAGUGAGGAGGCUGCUACUGCCAUAAGCUGGACACUGGAAGAAAGGGUGGGAUGCAGCCUACAGGAAGUGUUGUGUGGGCUGGCUGCCAUGGGAGGCCUUUGCUGGCCAUAUUGUAGGCAACAAGGCCACACUGAUACUCCAGCAACACAUACUCCAGCUAUCAUUUUUAUUUUCCAGAAAAAAGUUGGCUUUCCUGUCUGGGGUGACUAAAUGAAAGUGUUUUUUCUCCAUUUAACCUUGAUGCAAACUCAUUUGUUUUUCAACAGAGAUCGCAAGUUUAAAGAUGCAAUUCAAAUCUGAACUUUUCCUUAUGGUCCUGACUGUGUGGAGAAUUCCUCUGAUUCUGGCAGUUUUCCAUGUUAGAAAUAUAAGAUAGUUUACAUUGAUUGUGGUUUAGACAUAAAGCUUGAAUUUGUUCCUAUGUGGAUAGAAGGAUUGAAUAUUGUCAAACAGUGGUGCAGAGAGAGAAAGGAAAAAGUAAAAAGACCUUGAAUAAUAUAAAAUAUGGGAUCUAGCACUGCUAAAAAUAAUCUUGUGGUAUUUUCAUAUGUGACUUUUGCAGUUCAGCAUAGGCUUUUUGGACAAUUGAGUACCCACUUCAGGACCAGGGAGCAGGGGUUGGGAAGAGCUCACAGCAGCACCUUGACAGCUUGCCAAUGCACAUACAAGCACUACGCACCUUUCUGUUAGUCCCUGCAGUGAAUUAUGUUUUCACUUGUACCUUGCAGAGUGAAUAGCAAAUAACUUUAGACUAUAACACUGUCCAAUCUGUUCCCCCAUACGCACUCAUUUUCCAAAGAAUACACUGUACUGUGCAGUAAUGAAUGUGUUCAAAUAACAAUGGAAAGAAUGAUUCUGAUAUUCUCCUGAACUAAUUUCAAAGCUGCAUAUCCAGUUCUCUGCCUUUUUUGGUCAGUCUCCUUACACCAUUUAUGCCUGCUUUUAAACAGACUGGGUAGAAGAAGAGAUUCCAGCACACCUGAUCAGACUUUUAUACUCAACUCCACAGAAAGGCAGAUAUUACACAGCCAUAGCUCCCAGUACAUUUUUAUUUCUUAAAACUAUGCAAAUUAUGUGUUGGUAAGGUAGAUAAAACUGAUUGUAGGAGGUUACACAUGAACUGGAAUGUACGUCACAAAAAGUCGUUUCUUUCCGUAACACUAAGUAUUGUCUCACAUAUGAGAGACAAUGUAUCAGAACUCAAAAAUCCUCUUUUAGGCACCUGUAGAAAACCAUUGAAACCAACAUGGGCCACCUGUGACAUGCAAAGCCCUCAGCUGAAACAGUCACAUUCACAAAGAUGAGCUAUGAAGUCCUCUAUGAAGUCCUCCAAACUAGAAAGAUUUAUUGUUCUUCUGGGGCCAGUUUUAUGCACAUAACUUAUUCCCAUUUAGCUCUGAUCUUAUACCAGGGUUCUUCUCAUGGUAUCUUCUCUGUGGCUAGUCCUGCAGCCAGCUUGUUUCCUAGCUGAAUAAGCUGCUUCUGCUGUACCUGGGCCAAUAGGGAAGACAGUGGAAUCAGACACAUAUAUAGGAUAACAAUAGUAAUACUGUUACUAUAAUAACAGUAUAGAAUUACUAUAAUAGGAAUAUUCUUUAUUCCUUGUACUGACUUUCUCCCUGAAGGACUGUGCACAGCACAAUACUAAGUGCAUUUCAACCCUGUGUACAGAGCCAGCACAUGGUUUCUACAACACCUGACUUCUACUUAAUGUAAGGUUGGCUCUAAGUGGGAAAUAACUCUUGUUACAUUUCUGUGCAUAGGCAAAUUUUGAUUAAAGACAAUGAAAGAUUAUUUGGGAAGAGUGAGAGUAUUUUUUUCUUCUUCUCAUUCUGGAAAGGACCACCGAAGCCCUUCUGCCUACUGAACUAUAAAGAUAAAGAACAAAGGCUGCAACUAAUAUGGGGGAAAGGGAAAGGUUUUGGACCACCAACUGUCCUGUUUGAGUGGUCCAUCUCCAUAUGUUCAUGCUUGGACAGUGCAGUUUCUAUUGAGAAAUAGUCCUGUUUGAGCAUCCACCUCGUACAGUGAUAGUUAACAGAGCAUUGUGUCAUAGAUGGUGUCUGGCACAGGGCAUUGCUCUGCUAUGAAAGCUGAGCACAGGGGCUGCAAGGACAUGGGUGAAGGCUCCCAAGUGCACUUGCUGAACAAAGUACAUUGCUUAAAAAAUAGUGUCUUGUAAUAAGACAAGUAAAAAGCAACAAGCCUCUGACUGGAAAACAGACAGCCCAAUUAGACAGACAUUCUAUUUAAGUAGGAGAUGGAUAGAAGCCCUCCAUACCUCUAAAAUCCUCCAGCUCUUGCAGACAGACAGGUCUCCUUUGAACCAUUUUCCCAGAUAUAUUUCAGCCACAAUACAAAACAAGUCUGACUCAAUCCUUUGCAGACCUCUGAACUGUCAAGAGCCUGGAACAGCGAGACUCUGGAACGAUUGCAUCACGUGAGGGAGGAGGUCAGAGGGAAUCAUCGCUUGAGAAUGCAUGCCCACAUCUCAGCUCCUAAUCCUGGUCUGACACUGGGCAUGUCAGAUCAUGCACGGAGGAGAUGCACAGGGCAUGCCACUGCUGGCAGGUGCGUGUUGUCUAACAAAGUUGUUUUGAAUGCUGGCCCCUGCAGGUUCUCCUCCACCUGCUCCAGCCCCGGGCUGAAGAGCAUCCUCUCCACAGCCGCAAUGCUGGCAACGGCUCCUACCUUGGGGAUUGCUACUGGCAGGGAUGGGCACAGGAGAAUGGCGCUACUUUAGGGAUGGAUGCGGGAGGAUGGUGCUACUGCAGGGUUGGGCACAGGAGGAUGCUACUGGAAGUGGAAGAGUGGCAGGAGAGGGACUCUCACUCAAACUGCCUUAGGCUCAGCAGGACUUCUCUUGGCAUUACCAAAGGAUUAUGCCAUUGUCUUUAUAACUGCAGAAAUACUGACUAAGGCUGACAUUUCCAUUUAGAAACAGAGAAAUUUCAUCCAGUGAAUAUGUAUUUCUUGGAUGUUAUUUGGCUUGCCAAAUGGUUGUGACCUUUCAGCCCUCAGUUUCUUCCUACCAGAUCAGCCCAAGGCCUGAAAAUGCUGUGUCUUGUAUCUUAUUGCUGAAAGACUGGUUUGUGUAUGCUUGAUUAUAGAGGUUCUGUUAGGAGAAUCUGUUACAUAGAGUUUACUAAGCUCCUUGUAGCUUCCUCACACAGCAAAUAAGUCCUUUCCCCUAGAAAAACAUUGAAAUUAUCAAGGGAUUGGCAUAUGUUAAGGAACUAAAAAAAAAUCAUUAUAACAAGAAGGUCAGAGAAUAUGCAAGUUCUUUGGGUUGCUGUGUUUUGCAGACAAAGUUCUAAAAAGCACUUCUGUUCAAGGACAGAAACUGUGGCUCUCUGUACCCUCAGAAGGGUGUCAGCAAUUGCAGAAGUAUAGAAGAGGAGAAGAAGUCUCAUGGCACCAGCUGAAGGAAGGAGGAGCAGUGGCAUGAACAGUGCUCUUUUCUUCGUUUCAACCAGCAAAGAAAAGAGGAACCACCAACUCUGUCACUAAACCACCAGGUCUCUUUUCUGUGCUAGUAGUGUGCUUCUCCCAGCCCCUGCUUCAAUUUAAAAUUAUCUGUCAGAGAAGUAAAUACAAAUGCCCCAGGUGAGAACUAAUUUGUAUCGCAGAAAAUGAAUAGAACCGAUGGAGUCAGGAAAAAAAAAAAUUUAAAAUGGGCUGAGUUUCAUUGCACUCACUUCUAUUUGAACUUGCUUAAGUUCAGAUACAUUCAGAACUGGAGUUUUGGAGCAGACUCAGCUCUGUUGUCAACUCAGUUAUAGUCUGAUUAUUUGUCACAAAAUAGUGUGCACAAGAUACCACUCUAGCUGAAAAUGUAGAAAAAUUAACUCUGAGUGCAGUGGUUGUAAUAUUUUUUGUUUAAAAUGCUUUAAAUAAUAUGCUUAAGAAAGCUGAAGACAAGUAUGUUUGAAGAUAUGCUGCUUAAAAUACUCAACUUUAACUUUGUACAGAUAACCACACCAUAAACUCAAGCACUCUUAGAUUCAAACUAGCUGGAUUCAUCAGGAACUCUUUAGCUGUGGACAGAAUAUAUUUCAGGAAGAUGGAAGUAGUACAAAGUAAUCAUGUUAUGAAAAGGCUUUUGCCUUGUUCUGAGGUGUAAAGCAGAUUUGGCUGAAAAAUGCACUAUCAGAAGCUCUUUGAAUUAAUGUAAUAAUAGAAUAUGGUGCUUUUAUUUCUUUUAACUAAUAGUCUCCAAAUAUUUUUUAAGUAUUAUUUAGCACUAGCUACAGGUCUCAGUUGUGGGAAUGUGUUUACACAGGCAGCUGUGAUAUGAUCAUGUGAUUUACCCUGAUUCACAAAAUUUAAAACCAACAAAAAACCAAGAGUAAAUAAAAGGAUGCAGGGACAAGGAAGCAAGAAAGGGGCCAGGGAAUCAAUCCAGAUUGGAAUGGAAGUUUUGCCUCCUAUUCUUGCUGGGCAAUAUUCUUUGUCACAAUUAUCCUCAUUAAUUUAUCUGACCCACAGGAUGUCAAGUUACACACUGUUGUGAUUCUAUGUAAUGUUAUUUUUGACAUUUUUUUAUUUACUUCCUUUUUGACCACUUACCAGGUUUCCUCAGAGAGGGAUAAUAAAGUCUACCUUCAGAGAAGCCCAAACUGUAUUAUUGUACACCCCAAACAGUUUCUAAAGCCAGCUGCUCCUCAAACAUUAGAAUGGGCUGUAUCUGUCAGGCCAUUGCUUUUAAUUUUCCCAAACAUUGGAUUUUACGCAGUGCUUUAUGUGCAUGUAAUUGCAAUUACACAAUUGAAAUACACUUAAAAAGAGAUAGCUUUAUAAUAUGUCUUUGUGUUGUUACUCAAACGAGGUUGCUUCAGUUUCUGGCUUGUCACAAGAACCAGUCAUAUAGGAAAUAUACAGGCCUUUUCACAUGAGAGAAAAUUAAUACUAGGAACUUUGUAACUAAGAAGAUGUUGGGAGAUGUGCAUCCAUUAAAGUUUCUGACUAACAAACCAGGGAAAUGAUGGCAGAUCACUGGUUACUAUGAGAAAGAUGCUCUGCAGUUUCCCCACCCGGUAAAGGCUGGGUCUAAAUGUUUUUUGUCAGUUGCUAGAGAGCCUGGAACUUGACAUAACCAGCGCUGAUGUCAGGACUUCAGGACUAAUACUGAGCUAAGAUCUUGUCAGCAUUUAUAGUUAACCUUUUUAUUACAGAUAGAUGGCACAAAGCAAACUUUAGUCAAUAUUUACCUCUACUGUUAAAAGCAAGGAGAAGGGAAAAGAACAGUUCUUCAGGAAGGCUUGAUAGCCAAAGAACACUGUCCUUGUAAAUCUGAUAAAUAACAGACAGUCCAAAUUUUUGUAAGAGCUCCAAGGUUUCCUGUAGGAUUCCUUUAGAUAAGAAUUUGAAGGGUGCUGGUUACUUCCAAAGGGACGUUCCUCUCUCAAGGUCCAGCAUAUGGGGAGAAACAACUUUAAAAGAGAAAGAAGGAACAUAUGGGGAGAAGCAGCUUUAGAAAAACCCUGAAAACCCAAUAAACCACCUAGUACUUCUUGCCACAGAGAUGGACUGUCUACAUUCUUAGAAAAAGCCACAGUCAGUGGAUAUGUAAAGCAAGAGGAACAAUUAGAUAAGACAGUGGUGAGCAGAAACACAAAAUACAGUGAAACUGAAAACUAAACAAACCCUGCCAUAUGUAACCUCCUGAGUCAGGGUCAUUCCCUAAACACAGUACUGUCUGAAAGUAAUACAUGUGGUAUUUAAGUACCUAAAUACAGUCUUAGUGCAUACCUGCAAUUUUCCAGAUCCGCAUAAAAUCCUUUUAUGAACAAUAUGUUCCUUCAAUAAGGAAGAGAUUGCAAUCCUGAACCUGCAGUCAGAGGUGCUUUUCUUAAAGAAGGUUCCUGGAACCAUCUUGGCUCAGGUUCAAAGGCUGCACAAAUGUUUAAGCUCAAACCAAUCAAAUUAAGUAUAUUCUUGACAGAUUAUGUUCUCUCUUUCAUAGGUCUCCCCUGAGGGAUAUUAGUCAUAAACUCAGCAGAACGCCUACACUGCAUCCACACAAUUUGAGGUAGAUGUUAAAAUAAUCCCCCACCUGAGCACAUAAGUCUGGUAACUGUUCAACCAGUUAUGCAACUUGCAUGUGUAAAUGAAUUUAGCAUUCACAGAUGGAUUCCUAUGUGUAUUAUGGAUAGUUAAGAGUGGAAUCUGAAAAUUUUCUAUAGUAUUUAUUUCCCCUAAUGGGAUUUUAUCACAUCAAAUUAUAAAUCUAUAUGUUGAGAUAGAUUUAUAUAUAAAGAUGCACAGAAUAUAUCUGCCUGUGCUCACUUCUGUAACAGUGCUUAGCCAAUUGAGAAUGUGAUGGUAGAGCUCCAUACAAAGCUGUCUUUGCUUGUCACAUUUUGGGAAAGUGAGCAGGACAGCAAGACUUGCAAUUUCUUUCAAACUGUAGUGGCCUCUGAGAACAGCUGAUUUCAUGUGCUCUGGGUGUUUGGAUUUCAGUUUAUAGAUAAUUUCAGCUCUUGCUCUAUUUUUUGGAAGGAAAAUCUUCAGGUUAUGCAAUGUACUAGUCAUGUUCUUUAUUGUCAGUACUCAGAAAGGAAAUGUGUCACCAGUCCCACUGGCUACUUACUGGCACUAAAUUGCUAGCAAACAGUUGUAUGAGCGCUCGGUUUCUGGCACUGAUCUUUUUUAAUAUCUUUUUUUUCUUUAGAGAACAAACAAACACAGUUCUGACCUGCGCAAAUGAAUGUAGAAAAAUAAGAUGGCUUAAAGUUUAAGACCACCCGCUCUGUCAGUAUUAUCAGUUUCUGUAGUAUAAUACAAAAUGAAAGUAUUUUUGCAUGAUCAGACCAGGGAAGAAUUGAGGGGUUGAAAUUAUCAAUACUUAACCUAACCUUAGAGAAUUCAAUUUUCAUCGAUUUCUUUCAAAUAUUCAUAUGUUUCAGAUAAUCAUCCUUCAGAUAUUCGUAGGUUAAAAAUACAUCAUCUCUCACUCACAUGUUUACAAAACUGUUUCCCAAUAUGAUUUUUAGUUUCUAAAUGGGUGAUAAUUCCAAGAUAAGUCAUAUUAAAAGUCAUCCUACACUUCAUGUUUAGGGAUUAGAUUAAAGUUUGGGUAACAGUAAUGGCACAUUUAGACUUACCAAAUUCCUCAUAGGAACCACAGAGCUACUAAGAGCCAUAAACUGUGACUUUGCCCAUAUGCCUGUAGGCAUAGAUUUAUGUUAUAGGUUUAUAUAUUUGAAUAUUCCCUGUCAGAUAAAAGAGCAUUAAUCAGUUAGGAACUGAUAAAUCUCUUGACUAAUCCUCUGGGGACAUCUCCCUCAUACUGAUCUGUUUUUGGAUUAAAUGAAACAUGUUUACCUUAAAUUCUAUUCCAUAACACCUUUAAAGUCUUAAUUUCAAAGAUUAGCAGGAAAUUUUGGGAAACCAAAGGAAAAAAAAAGCAAAAACCAAACCAAAACUUGCAAUAUUCUUCUUAAGUCAUAACACAAAUUAUUUCAGCACUUCUUCCUCUUGGAAAAAAAAAAAAAAAAAAGAACAAAAGGAUACCUCUGAAUACCUGGAUUCUCUACCUUGUUGGUUUAUUUUUAGGAAUAAAAUAUUAACAGAAAUUUAGGAAUGAUAAAAUAUUUAGAAAAAGUAUCGUACCAGUAAGCAGACACUAGUAAAGGACAUUAACAAAUUAGAAAAAUGAAGCUGAUCAUCUGAAGUGAUGGGGACUCUUUUCUGCCUACUUGAAACUCAGUUUCUACUAUGCAAAUUUAUAAUUCUAAUUCUCCAUAAAGACUUACUGGGUGAAAAAAUUCUUUGCUAAAGCCUUCAUGUUUCCUUCUUUCCUAUUCUCUCAUAUUAUUUAAUCAGCCUCUGAUUAUACUAAUUCAAAUAGAAAUAAAAAGCUUACUAUAAAACAUCCAGAGAGUCCUUUAAGUGAACUGCGGUUAAAAAAAUAGCAUUGAGAAUUCCUCUCAGUUCCAGAGCCUCAUAAGAUUUAGAAAAAUUAUUAUUUUCUCUUUGUAAAUCACUUUAACAUUAGGGUAUGUAACUUGAAAAUUUCAACCCUAAAAAAGAAAUUCUCAAUAAUAAUAAUAAUCCAGUCCACUAACUUUUUCAGCAGAUGUGCUGUUAGGGGCAUUCUCUGUGCUUUGCUGGGUUUCAGCUGAUGCCCUUGAUUUUACCUGCUGCUGGAAUAUAGCUUUAUCAUAUGAGGCUGCUGUGUUACAGUGCUGCUUCCUAUCAGCAUAUUCCUGUCUCAUUUCUUCAAGUACUGUCUACUGUUCAUGCCAUUUGCAAUAUGUGAAUGAAAAUAGAAACCAAGGCAUGAAAGAAAUUGAUUAUAUAGAUUAAGUUAUAAAACUGUAACCUCUUUUAGUGUCCUACUUCAGACUUUACUAUCCUCAUAUGUAUUUUAUCUUGUUACAGUGAUAUGCUGGAUUUGUCUUUACCCCCAAAAAAGCCUUAUCAAGUGGGAACCCUUAGGUUAACUAAGUAGUAGGAUCACUUUUUCAGGCACAGCAAGUAUUUUUCCAUCCAGCUCUAUCUUCACAAACUCAAGAUGUCUUUGACAGAUAAGGUUGUUAAUUUCUUUGUCAUUUUCAGUGUGGACUGUUUAGCAUUUUGGUCUGAGGUAUGACUUUUGUCAGCAUAACUAUAUAGCUAAAAGCUGUAUGGAAAAUGCAGCUGAAAAGAGCAGAUACAGUGUUCUGCUUCUCUUAAGGUAAUGAACUGCUCUCCUAUAAACACUUCACUGUCAAUAUAUCUUCAUCCUCAAUUUAGAACAGAGUUGGAACAGUACAAUUUCUAUGUGGAGACAUGGCCCAAAGGACUUUCAUGGUUCUUUUUAAACACAGUUGGCUGUCCUGAUUAAUGUGGAAUUAUAAAUCAGUUUGAUAAUGAAUACAUUUAAUUUAAGUGUUUUCUGAGAAAACAAAGUAUUUAAGCAUUAAGUUAAUCUAAGAUUAAAUGCUUUACUGCACAGGAAUUUAGGUAAGUGCUGAAUCAGAACCCAGUGAGUAAACGAAUAGCUACAUGGUUUUAAGAAGUCCUCUAUUUAGAUUACACAUUCUCAAGCUCAAGAACAACUGAUAUUUCAGUACAUUAUUAUUAUAUUAUGAUUAUUAUACUAUUUUUUUUUACCAGAAAAUAUGUUAAAUGUUACCAUACAUAUAAAAUAGAAGCUGUUUUAAAAUGUUUACUAUAUUAAUAAUAUAUUAUGCAAUUCAUAAAAAGAGUAUGCUUGUUCUGGAAAAGCAAUUGUCUAAAGACAGAAAGAAAACAAUAAAUAUGAGAAGUAGUAUAUUUUAAUCAUAAAAUCACUGUGAGGUGAUGUGAUGCUGAAGCAGAGUGUCAUUAACAUACAUAAUUUUAUCUGCUCAGGCCUCAAUUGAAGAAUAUUUGUGAAGGUUGCUUCUAUUUUUUUCUUGUAAUUUUUCCUUGCAAAUGAAUUUUUAGACAGUCUCCAAACACUGUCACUGUCAAAUGAAUCAAAUAUAUUAGGACAAACUAUAUGAACAUAAUGAAAGGUCAUUGUAAAAAUUGAACAGUUGAGAGUAGUGAGAGACUUGCAAUGUAAAAGAAUUUUAUUAAAAAUAUAUACUCAUAACCCAAAAAUGUUCCACCAGAAUAUUUUCAGUGCUCUUCUGUUAAAAUACAGGCUGGAUCCACUGGGGAUGUGCAACUUGUUUUGAGUCCAGCCAUUAGGUCUGGAACAUAACCAAGAGCUUGAACUUCCAAGUCCAUAGCUCUGUGUCACUGCCAUACUGCUGACUUAGUUUCUCACAUUUAUCCUCCAAGGCACCCAGAUCCUCUGCUCUCAGCCCUGCCUUGCCAUAUGGGUUGUUUCCAAACCAGUGGUCCAAAUGUUUCCUUGUGAGUGUCAUUGCUGGGAAUGUGGGAGUUUGCGUGUGAUGAGGACUCUCUCCUGGGAACAACUUCAGGAUACCCAGAAGUGAUGGGUAUCCUGAUGGGAUCUUGUACCACAUCAGUAUUCUCAUCUAAAUACAUUACAUCAAAUAAUUACUUAAUUUAGGGUGCAGUAUGGCAGUAUAGCUAUGAUGUCACUGAAAGACACGUUCAUGCUUCUCAGAACAGUUGCUUGUGUAAAGCUACGUUCACACAGCUAUAAAGGUAUUAGGAAAGUAAAUCUUAUUAUUUGUGUAGAAACUGAUGUUAACCUGAUAUAAUCUGAGUAGACAUAGCAUUUUCCAUGUGGAUUUAGCUUUAGUUAAUUGCCUACUGACUUAAGCUAAAUCCUUAAAUCUACUCAUAACUUCCUAUAUAUCAGGGUGUAUUCUGUCUAAUCAUUAUAGUUUUCUUUUCUGUAAAGUGACUUGUAAAUUCAAGACUCCUUUUAGAAAUUACUUGCAUGUUCAAGAACCUCAGACUUUUUGUAAGACAUUAAAACUUAAGCUUAUCUGGAAAAUUAUAUCAGUGAUCUUAAAAUGGCAAGAGUUUCUACCUGCAUCAUGCAGCAUAUAGCCCUAGAUUAGAAAA